rnacentral:rRNA from 1 species
CACCGUAGCAUUCUGAUCUACGAUUACUAGCGAUUCCGACUUCAUGGAGUCGAGUUGCAGACUCCAAUCCGGACUACGACGCACUUUUUGGGAUUCGCUCACUAUCGCUAGCUUGCUGCCCUCUGUAUGCGCCAUUGUAGCACGUGUGUAGCCCUACUCGUAAGGGCCAUGAUGACUUGACGUCGUCCCCACCUUCCUCCGGUUUAUCACCGGCAGUCUCCCUGGAGUUCCCGACAUUACUCGCUGGCAAACAAGGAUAAGGGUUGCGCUCGUUGCGGGACUUAACCCAACAUUUCACAACACGAGCUGACGACAGCCAUGCAGCACCUGUCUCAGAGUUCCCGAAGGCACACCUGCGUCUCCGCUGGCUUCUCUGGAUGUCAAGAGUAGGUAAGGUUCUUCGCGUNUGCAUCGAAUUAAACCACAUGCUCCACCGCUUGUGCGGGCCCCCGUCAAUUCAUUUGAGUCUUAAUCUUGCGACCGUACUCCCCAGGCGGUCUACUUAACGCGU